UACGUAGGGUGCAAGCGUUUGUCCGGAAUUAUUGGGCGUAAAGAGCUCGUAGGUGGUUUGUUACGUCUGCUGUGAAAUCCUAGGGCUUAACCCUGGGCUUGCAGUGGAUACGGGCAGACUAGAGGUAGGUAGGGGAGAAUGGAAUUCCUGGUGUAGCGGUGAAAUGCGCAGAUAUCAGGAGGAACACCGGUGGCGAAGGCGGUUCUCUGGGCCUUACCUGACACUGAGGAGCGAAAGCGUGGGGAGCAAACAGG
rnacentral:rRNA from 1 species